rnacentral:rRNA from 1 species
UACAGAGGGUGCAAACGUUGUUCGGAAUUACUGGGCGUAAAGCGCGUGUAGGCGGCCCUGCAAGUCGGAUGUGAAAUCCCUCGGCUCAACCGGGGAACUGCGUCUGAUACUGGGUGGCUUGAAUCCGGGAGAGGGAUGCGGAAUUCCAGGUGUAGCGGUGAAAUGCGUAGAUAUCUGGAGGAACACCGGUGGCGAAGGCGGCAUCCUGGACCGGCAUUGACGCUGAGGCGCGAAAGCCAGGGGAGCAAACGGG